CACAGGCACAGGCACAGGCACAGGCACAGGCACAGGCACAGGCACAGGCACAGGCACAGGCACAGGCACAGGCACAGACACACACACACACACACACACAGACAGAGACACACACACACACACACACCAUUCUUAAGAAGUUAGAUCUCUCACAGUAAGAUGAACCCUCUCACAGCAAUCACCAAUCAGGUCAAUCCCUCAGAGGCAUGGACACAGACCAGUCUAAUCUGGCAACAUGGGGCUUCAGGCGCAGCUUUGGAGAAGACGUUCUCCUCAAUGCUAACGACUAAUGACUAAGACCUAGACAGCAGCAGCUCUACCCAAACUGCCAACUACCAUUCAAGAUUAUUGUGAAGAGAACGUUAUAGAAAGGGAGGUAAAAGGUAGAGAGUGAAAAGGUAGAGAGAAUUCCUGCACACAAGAAAGCAGACAGAAUAGAGGGCAAGAAGGGAAGGAUGGAAUGGGAGGAAGGAUGUCGGGAUCAUCCACUUGUAGGUAAGACAACCCGGGAGCCUACCAUUAGGGUAUAACAGUGUCCGGUAAGCCUCCUCCUUGAUCACUCUCUGUGCAGGUUGUAUAAAUUGUCCAACAUGCUACAGAAGUGGAAGUCCUAGAGGAUCCUACAGCAUGACUUCUUUUUUCUCCUUGAAGAGCCUGGCAACUGUGACAGUGAGGUGACAAAUACUCCUUGCAGAGCAUUGAGAGUUGGCAGAGAACUGUUGGAAUCCAAUGUCUCAUGAUUCAUGCACUACUGAAUACCUAUGCCUAUUGAUCUUUUUCCUUCUGAAAAAUGUCUCUCUGGUACAUGCUGGCUGAAUAAUGAGAAAGUAUAAUCUUUAUUUUGUUUCUUUUGAUUUAAUCUGGUUUCCCCCAAAAGAGAAAUAUCUGUAGACUUCAGUGUGGCUGAGUUGUCAUCAAGCCAAGUGCCAUGUUCUGUAUGUUACCUGUGAGUUAGGACCUCUGUCACAUGGGGGACACACAUAGUCCAGGAAUCAUUGUCUCUGCUUUUCCCCCCUUGGUGUUAAAGAGACAAAGCCCACAAUCCUCAAAACAGAAAGUGUAACGCUCAAC